UAGAGUUUGAUCCUGGCUCAGAUUGAACGCUGGCGGCAGGCUUAACACAUGCAAGUCGAACGGUAACAGGAAGCAGCUUGCUGCUUUGCUGACGAGUGGCGGACGGGUGAGUAAUGUCUGGGAAACUGCCUGAUGGAGGGGGAUAACUACUGGAAACGGUAGCUAAUACCGCAUAACGUCGCAAGACCAAAGUGGGGGACCUUCGGGCCUCAUGCCAUCAGAUGUGCCCAGAUGGGAUUAGCUAGUAGGUGGGGUAAUGGCUCACCUAGGCGACGAUCCCUAGCUGGUCUGAGAGGAUGACCAGCCACACUGGAACUGAGACACGGUCCAGACUCCUACGGGAGGCAGCAGUGGGGAAUAUUGCACAAUGGGCGCAAGCCUGAUGCAGCCAUGCCGCGUGUAUGAAGAAGGCCUUCGGGUUGUAAAGUACUUUCAGCGAGGAGGAAGGCAUUAAGGUUAAUAACCUUAGUGAUUGACGUUACUCGCAGAAGAAGCACCGGCUAACUCCGUGCCAGCAGCCGCGGUAAUACGGAGGGUGCAAGCGUUAAUCGGAAUUACUGGGCGUAAAGCGCACGCAGGCGGUCUGUUAAGUCAGAUGUGAAAUCCCCGGGCUCAACCUGGGAACUGCAUUUGAAACUGGCACGCUUGAGUCUCGUAGAGGGGGGGUAGAAUUCCAGGUGUAGCGGUGAAAUGCGUAGAGAUCUGGAGGAAUACCGGUGGCGAACGCGGCCCCCUGGACGACACUGACGCUCAGUGCGAAAGCGUGGGGAGCAAACAGGAUUAGAUACCUGGUAGUCCACGCCGUAAACGAUGUCGACUU
rnacentral:rRNA from 1 species